GAUGAACGCUAGCGGCAGGCCUAACACAUGCAAGUCGAGGGAGAAGCCCUUUCGGGGGCAGAAACCGGCGCACGGGUGCGUAACGCGUAUGCAACCUACCUUUCACAGGGGGAUAGCCCGAAGAAAUUUGGAUUAAUACCCCAUAAUAUUAUUGGAUGGCAUCAUUUGAUAAUUAAAACUGCGGUGGUGAAAGAUGGGCAUGCGUCCUAUUAGCUAGUUGGAGUGGUAACGGCACCCCAAGGCUACGAUAGGUAGGGGUCCUGAGAGGGAGAUCCCCCACACUGGUACUGAGACAGGGACCAGACUCCUACGGGAGGCAGCAGUGAGGAAUAUUGGUCAAUGGUCGGAAGACUGAACCAGCCAUGCCGCGUGCAGGAAGAAUGCCUUAUGGGUUGUAAACUGCUUUUAUAUGGGAAGAAUAAGGUGUACGUGUACAUUGAUGACGGUACCAUAUGAAUAAGCAUCGGCUAACUCCGU
rnacentral:rRNA from 1 species